rnacentral:rRNA from 1 species
GAUGAACGCUGGCGGCGUGCUUAAUACAUGCAAGUCGAGCGAACAGAUCAGGAGCUUGCUCCUUUGACGUUAGCGGCGGACGGGUGAGUAACACGUUGGUAACCUACCUUUAAGACUGGGCUAACUUAGCGAAACCGAUGCUAAUACCGAAUAACAUUUGCAACCGCAUGGUUCUGAAGUGAAAGAUGGUUUUGCUAUAACUUAUAGACGGACCCGCGCCGUAUUAGCUAGUUGGUAAGGUAACGGCCUACUCAGGCGACGAUUCGUAGCCGACCUGAGAGGGUGAUCGGCCACACGGGAACUGGGACACGGGCCAUACUCCUACGGGAGGCAGCAGUAGGGAAUCUGCCGCAAUGGGCGGAAGCCUGACGGAGCAACGCAGAGUGAGUGAUGACGGGGUUGGGCUCGUGAAACUCGGUUAUUAGGGAAGAACAAAUUUGUGAGUAACUGUGCACGUCUUGACGGUACCUAAACAGAAAGCCACGGCUAACUACGUG